rnacentral:rRNA from 1 species
UUGGGAGCUCACUGGCUUCGGAGUCAUGGGAACUCCGAAGUUAAGCGAGUUAAAGGCUAGAGCAAUCCCAGGAAGGGUGACCCACUGGGAAGUUGCUCGUAAGCUCUCAGA